rnacentral:tRNA from 1 species
GCCGAGGUGGUGAAAUUGGUAGACACGCAAGUUUCAGGUACUUGUGGUUAACGCCAUGGAGGUUCGAGUCCUCUCCUCGGCA